CCAUGGGUACUCCACUGAAUACCUUUGGCAGGUGAAAAAAAGGAGGAAAAGCACCAUCCGCCUGACUAGCGGUGCGGCAGUGUGGAGACCUGUCGUAACGCGGCGCCUGCCAGCGCGCAGGGCCGUGAGAUCACAGCUUGCGGAGGCACUGUGGUCAUAGUCGUAAACGCAUGGCA
rnacentral:ncRNA from 1 species